rnacentral:rRNA from 1 species
GGGGAAUAUUGCACAAUGGGGGGAACCCUGAUGCAGCGACGCCGCGUGAGUGAAGAGGUAUCUCGGUAUGUAAAGCUCUAUCAGCAGGGAAGAAAAUGACGGUACCUGACUAAGAAGCCCCGGCUAACUACGUGCCAGCAGCCGCGGUAAUACGUAGGGGGCAAGCGUUAUCCGGAAUUACUGGGUGUAAAGGGUGCGUAGGUGGUAUGGCAAGUCAGAAGUGAAAACCCAGGGCUUAACUCUGGGACUGCUUUUGAAACUGUCAGACUGGAGUGCAGGAGAGGUAAGCGGAAUUCCUAGUGUAGCGGUGAAAUGCGUAGAUAUUAGGAGGAACAUCAGUGGCGAAGGCGGCUUACUGGACUGAAACUGACACUGAGGCACGAAAGCGUGGGGAGCAAAC